rnacentral:ncRNA from 1 species
AUUGAAACGUUGAUGAGGAUUAGUAAAUUAAUUCGGUCUUAUAAAGAGAGGAAACCAAUGGUGGAAGGUUUCUUAAGACAGUCAGUUGAACCUGCCUCGGAGUUCUGUAUCGGAUCCUUAUUGAAGAUACAUGCGGAUAAAAGUCCGUUAUCAUGUCGAGAGUAUAAAGCGUAUGCUUUAUGAAUUUAGGGUGGUACCGCCAGGCCUUGGUCCCUUUU